GUAGUCUGCAACUCGACUACAUGAAGCUGGAAUCGCUAGUAAUCGCGAAUCAGAAUGUCGCGGUGAAUACGUUCCCGGGUCUUGUACACACCGCCCGUCACACCAUGGGAGCCGGAAACGCCCGAAGUCAGUGGCCCAACCGGAAGGAGGGAGCUGCCGAAGGCAGGGCUGGUAACUGGGGUGAAGUCGUAACAAGGUAGC
rnacentral:rRNA from 1 species